GUGCUCAUUUUGGUAGCACAUAUACAAAAAUUGGAACAAUACAAAGAUUAACAUGGCCCCUAUGCAAGGAUGACACAAAAGUUUGUGAAGCACUCCAUAUUUGG